UCUGAGACUGAGUGAUAAAAU
rnacentral:piRNA from 1 species